rnacentral:lncRNA from 1 species
ACGUCGUCUCAUACCGGACGGGGUAUGGAGACUUGGUCAUUUGGCGCUCAUACUGGACGGGGUAUGGGGACGGCUCGCUUCACCCUCAUACCGGACGAGAUAUUGAGGUUUAAUAUCUUGGUGCUCAUACCGGACGGGGUAUGAGGACGACCCUCGAAUUAAGACUUUUAAGAAAAAGGGUUCACGUGUAGCCGGGAAACACACCUAUGGAUCCCCAUGGAUAUUAGUAGGUUGGUGAAAACAAGAAAACAGUGAUAAUCAGUUAUUGUUAAUGAAU